rfam:Pseudomonas sp. ABAC61 scaffold830_001, whole genome shotgun sequence.
UUGCGCAAGAGCUGUUUUGCAAAGCAAUCUUCGCAAUCCUCUGUCGCGGGCCCGAGCCUAUGCUUAUCACCAGAAUCACUGCCCGGACACACAGUCCACUGCGGCCCGCCGAAUCAGGCCUGCCGCGGCCGCCAACCCCACCGGGUUGGGCAGGCCCCCGGGCUACACCCUGUCCAGAAGACGGAGUGAGGUGAGCCGGUGCCACAAGCGCCGAGCACGGACAAAAUCUCAAGGGGUGGCCGACGGGCCACCCU